GUGAGUCAUCGAAUCUUUGAACGCACCUUGCGCUCCUUGGUAUUCCGAGGAGCAUGCCUGUUUGAGUGUCAUUAAUAUAUCAACCUCUUCAGCUUUUGCUUGUUGAGUGUUGGAUGUGGGGGUCUUUUGCUGGUUUUUAGAAAUCAGCUCCCCUAAAAUGUAUUAGCAGAACAAUUUGUUAAUCGUUCAUUGGUGUGAUAAUUAUCUACGCUAUUGACGUGAGGCAGUUCAGCUCUAACAGUCCAUUAACUUGGACAAUUUUCAUUAAUGUGACCUCAAAUCAGGUAGGACUACCCGCUGAACUUAAGCAUAUCAAUAAGCGGAGG
rnacentral:rRNA from 2 species